rnacentral:rRNA from 1 species
CACUCCUGCGGGAGGCAGCAGUGGGGAAUAUUGGACAAUGGGCGCAAGCCUGAUCCAGCCAUGCCGCGUGAGUGAUGAAGGCCCUAGGGUUGUAAAGCUCUUUCACCGGUGAAGAUAAUGACGGUAACCGGAGAAGAAGCCCCGGCUAACUUCGUGCCAGCAGCCGCGGUAAUACGAAGGGGGCUAGCGUUGUUCGGAUUUACUGGGCGUAAAGCGCACGUAGGCGGACUAUUAAGUCAGGGGUGAAAUCCCGGGGCUCAACCCCGGAACUGCCUUUGAUACUGGUAGUCUUGAGUUCGAGAGAGGUGAGUGGAAUUCCGAGUGUAGAGGUGAAAUUCGUAGAUAUUCGGAGGAACACCAGUGGCGAAGGCGGCUCACUGGCUCGAUACUGACGCUGAGGUGCGAAAGCGUGGGGAGCAAACAGGAUUAGAUACCCCUGUAGUCCCAUGA